rnacentral:rRNA from 1 species
GAUUAACGUUGGUAGUAUGCCUAACACAUGCAAGUCGAGCGGAAAACGAUAGCAAUAUCUUUUUUAGCGGCGAACGGGUGAGUAAUGCUUAUCUAACUUGCCGAUUAGUGGGGGAAAGCUUUGAGAAAUCAUUGGUAAUACCGCAUUUGUUGCUUUUUAGCAAUUAAAGGAAAUCGUAAGAUUUUCGCUAAUCGAGAGGGAUAAGUCGUAUUAGUUAGUUGGUGGGGUAAUGGCCUACCAAGACAAUGAUGCGUAGCCAGUCUGAGAGGAUGAAUGGCCACAAGGGAACUGAAACACGGUCCCUACUCCUACGGGAGGCAGCAGUGAGGAAUUUUCCGCAAUGGGGGAAACCCUGACGGAGCAAUACUACGUGAAGGAUGAAGGUCUAAGGAUUGUAAACUUCUGUUAGCGCGGAAGAAGAGUUAUUUAUUUAACUUUGACGGUACGCGCAGAGAAAGCCACGACUAACUAUGUGCCAGCAGCCGCAGUAAAAC